AAAAAAAAGUUCCACUUUGCAGUAAUUUUCCUCCAGCUCAGACACCACUGGUGGUUGUGACGUGAUGCUUCGCAUGUACCUGCUCACCUCUUUCAUGCUGCUGCUGCCACCGGGCUUUGGAAAGUUUCUCCCUCCUGUCAGCGUGUGGUACUUCUUCUCCAGGGCGCACAGCAUGUCUUGUUCCUGAAAGCCAGAACCAACAUGGAUAUUCAGCCUUUCACAGUCUUGAGAUGCCUGUAACCCCAGCUGCUUUACCUGAGCUUCCAGAGCAGCCAUCUUUUCCUGCAAAUCAACACAACCAGUUUCUUCUUCUGGAGCCUCCACCUGCUCCUGCUCUGCCCGCCGCUCUGCCUGCAGCAGGGCUUGCUCCAUCUCCACCUACAGACAAAUAUGGAGUCAGAGUCUGCAAGUCAACAAAUACCAUAAAGAGCUUCUGCUCCUCUUACUGCAUUGCUGCUGCUCCAGCUCACUGACUCUGUGUUUCAAAUCAUCAACCCUGGCCAGGAUCCUGUUCCUCUCCUCCUCCAGACUCCUCUCUCUGGAUUUCCUCGUCGUUCUCCCUCACCCUCUGGUUUCGGCCGUCUCCCAGGAGAGCCAUCCCACCUCCCAAGUCCGAACAAAGUCCUCUACCAGCACCCAGCAGACCACUCUUCACCAGCUCCACAGAGCCGUCCUCAUGAUUAUACUCUGCGCACAAAUUCAGGAUGGUCUCCAGUCUCUGUCGCUCCUUUAGAAGAGAUGCAAAAUGUAAGCACGGCUGAUAUUAGAGAUCACUGUAUAGAUUCGUGUCCUUGAGUGACAUUGUCCCAUUUAGGCAGCUGUCCCUCUGCCGCUGGCAUGGGACAACGGUAACCCGAUAGCAGCGGGGCUGAAGCUGAUGCAGACUGUCUCUCGGGAGGGGGCUUCUUGGUCAAACCUGUCUGAGCUGCUUGAGUUGUUUAUGAAAACACAGUCUGCUGUAACUAAGAAAUCCCAAAAAUGCAAGAUCUGUGUGUGCUGGAUGAAUGUAUUGCGGUAGAUGUUGCACUUUUUUACAAACUUAUUUUUUUGCCUACUGCAUCAUCUCACAUGGUUUGAACUUGUGGCCCAGUGUUGUCUCUCAUUACAGCAGACAAUAGCAUGUUUGCUUUAAUACUAAAAUGAUGUGGAAUAUGUAAUCAUCAUUCCAGCGAGGCGUCUGGCAAUACGAGGUACAAUUGUAUCCAAUGUGCUUCUUCCUGUACUCUCCUUUUGUCUGCUACAUAAAAAAAAUCAGCCAUUUAAAACCACCAGCUCUGUUGUUGCAAGAUUUACUCCUCAGACUGUUUGAAGGAAAAAAGCUGUACUAUGAAAACUAUGAAAUGACAUUUUAGAUUAGGAAAAGGGGCUAAAUAUAUAGAUAUAAAGUCAACGUAAACCAUAAAAUGGUUUAAUAGAUUGUAACGCUAAUUAUUUAAAGCUAUAUGUUAUUACAUUUUUAAUACAAGUGAGCAUAGUGAAGCAGGUUUUAAGUUGAAUAUUCAACAUUAAUUCUUACUUAGUUUCACCCUUAUUUGCAUCAGUAGGCACAAUACAAAUUAUUCUAAUACCUCUGAGAUGUUGUCUCAUGGAGCACAGUUAUUCUGAAAAAUGUGUAUUUACAUAAAUAUCUUAGAUUUUCAGAUCUCCAGAUGCUGGAGAAUCUAGAUUUUCAUUAACUUCUUCUUUGGACACAAGCGACCAGUUUCUCCACUUCACCACGGUGUCUGCUUCACCUAAAGGUAAAUGCGUUUCAUUAUAAAGAAAAAAUGGGGAGUGUGGCAGUGUGCAGUGCCCACAUUUCAUGAACUCGAAGAAAAUUUAGCAUAUGCACUUUAUAACAACAUUUCCACACAAAUAUUAGUAAAUGAGGGCCACUGUCAGAAGCCAUGCUUGUUGGUUGUUUUUUAUUAUUGUAAUAUUUUAUAUUAUUUUAUCCAAUAAUUGUCCGUGAGGUAAUUUUUUGCAAUGAUCUCCACUCCUGGGAAGAAUGGCAAGUGUCUUGAAUGUUUUUACACUGGUGAAUAAUCUUCCUCACUGUAGAACGAUGCAUUUCAUAUUGAACAAGUGUGUACUUUUCUGUUCCACGUGACUGUAUGAGUUGUUACUAUAACCAACGAAGCAAAUGCAUGAAUUUCAUGUCUUAUAAAGGAAACUUUCUCAAUUAACUCCAGCUCUCUC